CUGUAGACUGAGGGUAGGAGGGGUUCUGUAGACUGAGGGUAGGAGGAGUUCUGUAGACUGAGGGUAGGAGGAGUUCUGUAGACUGAGGGUAGGAGGGGUUCUGUAGACUGAGGGUAGGAGGGGUUCUGUAGACUGAGGGUAGGAGGGUUCUGUAGACUGAGGGUAGGAGGAGUUCUGUAGACUGAGGGUAGGAGGGGUUCUGUAGACUGAGGGUAGGAGGAGUUCUGUAGACUGAGGGUAGGAGGAGUUCUGUAGACUGAGGGUAGGAGGGGUUCUGUAGACUGAGGGUAGGAGGGGUUCUGUAGACUGAGGGUAGGAGGGGUUCUGUAGACUGAGGGUAGGAGGGGUUCUAUAGACUGAGGGUAGGAGGAGUUCUGUAGACUGAGGGUAGGAGGGGUUCUAUAGACUGAGGGUAGGAGGAGUUCUGUAGACUGAGGGUAGGAGGGGUUCUAUAGACUGAGGGUAG